ACUGAGGGUAAUGCUCUAUAGAAAAGUAAAUCUGGAAUGAUUACUAUUCAAAUGGCUAAAAAAUCAUGUUUUUUUAGUGCAAAAGGAUGAGACUGCGCCAGAUUAUGGUUGUUGGUAGGGUAAUUGCCUACCAAGCCGAAGAUCUGUACGGGCCUUGAGAGAGGGAGCCCGGAGAAGGGAACUGAGAUAAUGUCCCUAGCCCUACGGGGUGCAGCAGUUACGAAACUUUUACAAUGCGGGAAACCGUGAUAAAGAGAUUCCAAGUGCUUACUUUGUAAGCUUUUAUAUAGUGUGAACAACUAUGUGAAUAAGGGGAGGGCAAUAUGCGUGCCAGCCGCCGCGGUAAUACGUAAUCCCCAAGUGGUAUCCAGCAUUAUUUGGCUUAGAGCGUGUGUAGCUGGUUUGUUAAGUCUUUUGUGAAAGCAGCUAGCUUAACUAGUUGAAUUGCAAAAGGUACUGACAUGACUAGGGACCGGAAGACGUUAAGGGUAUUUUUAGAGUAGGAGUAGAAUCUUAAGAUACUAAAAAGACCACCUGUGGCGAAGGCGCUUAACGAGUACGGCUCCGACAGUGAGAUACGAAAGCUGGGGGCGCAACCCGGAUUAGAUACCCGGUUAGUCCCAGCCGUAAACGAUGUGGAUUAGGUGUUGGGUUAAUUACGAGUUAACUCAGGGCCGAAGAGAAAUCAUUAAAUCCACCGCCUGGGAAGUAUGGUCGCAAGACUGAAACUUAAUGGAAUUGGCGGGGGUGCACUACAAGGGGUGGAUGCUGCGGUUUAUUG
rnacentral:rRNA from 1 species